rnacentral:rRNA from 1 species
GACGAACGCUGGCGGCGUGCUUAACAGAUGCAAGUCGAACGGUAAGGCCCUUCGGGGUACACGAGUGGCGAACGGGUGAGUAACACGUGGGUGAUCUGCCCUGCACUUCGGGAUAAGCCUGGGAAACUGGGUCUAAUACCGGAUAGGACCACUGCCUGCAUGGGUGGUGGUGGAAAGCUUUUGCGGUGUGGGAUGGGCCCGCGGCCUAUCAGCUUGUUGGUGGGGUGAUGGCCUACCAAGGCGACGACGGGUAGCCGGCCUGGGAGGGUGACCGGCCACACUGGGACUGAGAUACGGCCCAGACUCCUACGGGGGGCAGCAGUGGGGAAUAUUGCACAAUGGGCGCAAGCCUGAUGCAGCGACGCCGCGUGGGGGAUGACGGCCUUCGGGUUGUAAACCUCUUUCAGCACCGACGAAGCGCAAGUGACGGUAGGUGCAGAAGAAGGACCGGCCAACUACGUGCCAGCCGCCGCCGUAA